rnacentral:lncRNA from 1 species
CCUCAGCAGAACCAAAAAAUCGGUAAAAAAAAUUUAAAAAAAAAUAAAAACAACAUAAAAAACCCUCCAAAGCGACCCCAAAAGCAGCCGGGCAGCGCUCGGGCCCGGCCCGGCCCGCAGGCCCGGCCGCAGACGGGGCCGGGCUGGCGCUCCGCGCUGCCCCGCGGUGCUGGCGGGCUGUCCCGGGCGGCGGGGCUCGCUGGCCCCGCUGGAACCCCCCUGUCCCGGGAUGCCGGGAUCCCGCUACUCACCGAGCGCCGCUCCCGGGCUCUCCACGGGCGACCGCAGCGGGGCGGAGGCCACGCCCACCGAGCCAGGCCACGCCCACCGAGACAAGCCACGCCCCUUCUCACCGACCACGCCCACCCCGCAUGGCCCCGCCCCUUCCUGAGCGGGGAGGGGGCCGGGAUGGUGGGCGGGGCCAGGAGAAAUGUGGGCGUGGCCACGCCGUUCUCCCAAAUCCAUGCAGAAUUCCACAGCCAAACGCGACUUGCUGGAAGUGUGAAGAGGACAAAGAUGAGGAUGGAGGCAGCCGCCCAAGCCAGACCCUGUUCUAGUGCCCAGCUGUGCCCAGCUGUGCCAGCAAGGUUCAGCUCCACCACCACGGGACUCUGAACAAACCCAGCCGAGCCACGGCAAUGCUGGGCUCCCCUCCUUCCUCUGCUCCUCCAUCCUUUUUUGCAUUAUUAAAUGUACUCCUGUCUAACAGGAUUUUAUGUCAUCGUUUUUCCCCAAAGUGGGAAAAAAGGAAAUAAUUAGGGGUGGCAGGUCUAGCCCGGCACGCAGCAACACCAUUAAGCAGGAGGCUGCUACGCUGAGUUGGUCUGGAGCCUCUUUAGCAUUUUCAUUAGCUCUCCAAAGCUUUUGAUGUCCCUUAUUUACAACACAGACACUGCAGAGGAGGCAGGCAAUGAUUAAGACAAGCUUUUACUCUUCUGGAGUUCACUGGAUACCUCGUGGCUACGGACCCUGCAUAUAAAGCAAUAUUGCUUAUUAUUCUGUGCUGUUUGUUCCAUUAAUCAUGAGCCUGCUUUGCUCUGGGAAGAGGAAUUGGAAUACAGCAAUAUUCUGUCUGCUUGUUUUUAAAAUACAUGUGUGGGUGGACACUCCAGCUACUGCUCACAUUUUUCUCUCACAAGAAGAGCUGUUCGUGAUUCUCCUCCCCAGUGUUUUCUUCUGACACUGGUUUUGUUCGCCGAACUCAGGAAGGGAACUGCCUCAAGCCUGUCAAUGAGUGUUGUAUGGAAAUAAGGAGUACUAACUGAGAAAUGCUUGAAAUUCGGCAUCCCAGAGAGGAAAAGGAUUUCUUUUCCAUCAUGGAAAGGGGGGUCAGGCUGGACAUUGGACUGGGCUGCCCAGGGAAGUGGUGGAGUCCCCAUCCAAGGAAGGUGACACUCAGUGCUCUGGGCUGGGUGACAAGAGGGGGAUUUGGCACAGAUUGAACUUCAUGGUCUUGGAGGGCUUUUCCAACCUCAGUGAUUCCACGAUCCUGUGGUUCAGUUCAAAGUCACUCACUGCCCUCACAGUCUCAGCCUUCAGCAGCCACCCAGCGGGUCUGGGGAUUCCUUCAGGAUAUUCCAGAAGGAAUUUUCAGAGUGUUCAACUCGUCAUCCUG